AUGGUGAAGAAAAUGGUGAUUUUUGUCCACUAUCUGCCUGUAGCAGUACUGUCACAACAGAGCGUUGCUGGAAGCUUGAUGAAGGCUCCAGGUGUCCCAAGAAGAGUAAUGCCCAGGCCAGGCCCUCCUCCAGCAACCACUUCUGCACAGAUUGGAAGUGAAAGUGCCACCUUGUCACUUCACCACAGAGCCAGGCAGGGCCACCAGAGUGCAGGCAGGGCAGGAGGGCAGAGCAGAGCAGGAAGAAAAGCUCACCCUGAGCAGCGUAGCAGCAGCAGCAAAAGUGGCACCAUGCAGAAGGGAGCAAAGCACAAACAGAUGUUCAGAAGCAAUGCCCAUUUGUGGAUUUGCAAUUAAAAGACUCCUGAUUUUGCUGUGGAUAAAAGAACUACUUAACUACAAUUAUGAAAACAAAACUGAAAAGAGGGAGAACGCCUGA
rnacentral:lncRNA from 1 species